UACGGGGGGGGCAAGCGUUGUUCGGAAUUACUGGGCGUAAAGGGCUCGUAGGUGGCCAACUAAGUCAGACGUGAAAUCCCUCAGCUUAACUGGGGAACUGCGUCUGAUACUGGAUGGCUUGAGUUUGGGAGAGGGAUGCGGAAUUCCAGGUGUAGCGGUGAAAUGCGUAGAUAUCUGGAGGAACACCGGUGGCGAAGGCGGCAUCCUGGACCAACACUGACACUGAGGAGCGAAAGCCAUGGGAGCAAACUGG
rnacentral:rRNA from 1 species